CUCGUAGCUUGCUAUGAGAACAAUUAGUGGCAGACGGGUGAGUAAUGCAUAGGAAUCUACCUAGUAGUAUAGGAUAGCCACUAGAAGUGGUGGGUAAUACUGUAUAAUCCCUGCGGGGGAAAGAUUUAUCGCUACAUGAUGAGCCUAUGUUAGAUUAGCUAGUUGGUGGGGUAAUGGCCUACCAAGGCAGUGAUCUAUAGCUGGUCUGAGAGGAUGAUCAGCCACACUGGAACUGAGACACGGUCCAGACUCCUACGGGAGGCAGCAGUGGGGAAUAUUGGACAAUGGGCGCAAGCCUGAUCCAGCUAUGCCGCGUGAGUGAGGAAGGCCCUAGGGUUGUAAAACUCUUUCAGUGGGGAAGAUAAUGACGGUACCCACAGAAGAAGUCCCGGCAAACUCCGUGCCAGCAGCCGCGGUAAUACGGAGGGGGCAAGCGUUGUUCGGAAUUAUUGGGCGUAAAGGGCAUGUAGGUGGUUUGGUUAGUUAAAGGUGAAAUGCCAGGGCUUAACCCUGGAGCUGCUUUUAAUACUGCCAGACUGGAGUCCGGGAGA
rnacentral:rRNA from 1 species